rnacentral:rRNA from 1 species
UACGUAGGGUGCGAGCGUUGUCCGGAAUUACUGGGCGUAAAGAGCUCGUAGGUGGUUUGUCGCGUUGUUCGUGAAAACCGGGGGCUUAACCCUCGGCGUGCGGGCGAUACGGGCAGACUGGAGUACUGCAGGGGAGACUGGAAUUCCUGGUGUAGCGGUGAAAUGCGCAGAUAUCAGGAGGAACACCGGUGGCGAAGGCGGGUCUCUGGGCAACAACUGACGCUGAGGAGCGAAAGCGUGGGGAGCGAACAGG